rnacentral:rRNA from 1 species
AGGGUUUGAUCCUGGCUCAGGAUGAACGCUGGCGGCAUGCCUAAUACAUGCAAGUCGAACGAGAGGAAGGAAAGCUUGCUUUUCUGAAUCUAGUGGCGAACGGGUGAGUAACACGUAGGUAACCUGCCCAUGUGCCCGGGAUAACUUCUGGAAACGGAUGCUAAAACCGGAUAGAUAGCAGACAAGCAUUUGACUGCUAUUAAAGUGGCUUUGGCCAUGAACAUGGAUGGACCUGCGGUGCAUUAGCUGGUUGGUGAGGUAACGGCCCACCACCCGCAACGAGCGCAACCCUUGUGAUAUGUUACUACNAUUGAGUUGAGGACUCAUAUCAGACUGCCGGUGAUAAACCGGAGGAAGGUGGGGAUGACGUCAAAUCAUCAUGCCCCUUAUGGCCUGGGCUACACACGUACUACAAUGGCGUCUACAAAGAGCGGCAAGCCUGUGAAGGCAAGCGAAUCUCAUAAAGGACGUCUCAGUUCGGAUUGAAGUCUGCAACCCGACUUCAUGAAGCUGGAAUCGCUAGUAAUCGCGAAUCAGCAUGUCGCGGUGAAUACGUUCUCGGGCCUUGUACACACCGCCCGUCAAACCAUGGGAGUUGGUAAUGCCCGAAGCCGGUGGCAUAACCUUCGGGAGUGAGCCGUCGAAGGCAGGACCGAUGACUGGGGUUAAGUCGUAACAAGGUAUCCCUACGAGAACGUGGGGAUGGAUCACCUCCUUUA